rnacentral:lncRNA from 1 species
AUGUCUUAUCUGAUGCCAAUUGCGUUUGCUGACAGAGAGAACAGAAGCCUACCAGUGUUAUCUCCAGAGAAUAAGCAUACCAUGAAACCUUCCGAAAUUGCAGCAUCAAGUGUUUUAUGCCAGUGACAUUUUAAGUGUCGAAUGGUGACAACAUAAACUCUGCUAACCACACUAUGAUUGUGGCCUGGCCUCAGCUCUGACUUGCUUCUCUUCAUGUGUUCCAUUAACCAAUAUUUCUGAAGAUUCUGUAAGGUAGUCAUUUUUAUUCUACUAACCAUUAUUGAUACACAAGGACAUUUAGUACUGUAUUGGAUAUUUAAUUCAAUUAUGGCCACAUUUAUUUUCGUAUUUUA